UACGUAGGGUGCAAGCGUUAAUCGGAAUUACUGGGCGUAAAGCGUGCGCAGGCGGCUUUGCAAGACAGAUGUGAAAUCCCCGGGCUUAACCUGGGAACUGCAUUUGUGACUGCAUGGCUGGAGUGCGGCAGAGGGGGAUGGAAUUCCGCGUGUAGCAGUGAAAUGCGUAGAUAUGCGGAGGAACACCGAUGGCGAAGGCAAUCCCCUGGGCCUGCACUGACGCUCAUGCACGAAAGCGUGGGGAGCGAACAGG
rnacentral:rRNA from 1 species